UACGUAGGGUGCAAGCGUUGUCCGGAAUUAUUGGGCGUAAAGAGCUUGUAGGCGGUUUGUCGCGUCUGCCGUGAAAAUCCGGGGCUCAACCCCGGACUUGCGGUGGGUACGGGCAGACUAGAGUGUGGUAGGGGAGACUGGAAUUCCUGGUGUAGCGGUGAAAUGCGCAGAUAUCAGGAGGAACACCGAUGGCGAAGGCAGGUCUCUGGGCCACUACUGACGCUGAGACGCGAAAGCGUGGGGAGCGAACAGG
rnacentral:rRNA from 1 species